UGGGAUUGUAUUUUACAAUGUUUUAUGUUAAUUGGUCUGUACAUCAGUCUGUAAAUUGUCUCUCCCUUGUCCUGCUGUCCUUAUGACAACAGAAAAUGUUCAUAUUUUACUGAAAGGGCAAGAGCUAAAAUCCCCUAGUUUUUAGAAAAUUCUCCAAGUGUCUCACUGAAUCCCAAAAUGAAGCAAAGAAUAUUUCACAUAAAAAUUAACCAAGUCAUUGAAAAAUCUGAAUCAUUUUUUAUUGCAUUGCUUUUCAGUGACCCCUGAAGCUCCUCAUCACUGUGCAACUCAGAGUUCAGAUCCUGAACAGGAGUCACAUCACACCAAAGAAGCUGACAAUAAUGUCUCUACACCCCCAAGACUGCAUGACAACACCUCCCUUGCCACCUCAGUCCCUCAACUGAGCAAAAGGAUUUCCAGGCCUAUGAAUAUGCAGAAGUUGCAACACGGCACAAAUGUUAUGAUUACUAGCGCUGUAAAUAAUGGAGCUAGGAUUAUCUGAGAAAGAUGUGAUUCUACAUUGUUCAGAGAAGAAACUACCUCCUUCUGUGAGCCGCAUCUCAAUAUUUUGAGACCAUCACAGUUGAGUUGUGGGAAUACUGGUGGAACAAAAUGAAGUAUACUGAAAUUUGAAAUGGAGCUUACACACUUGAUGAAAAAAGAGUUCAGAUAGCAUCAGCUAUUUCCUGAAUUUCUGCAGAAGUCCACAUAUUUUAUCUAGAGGACUUGGAGUCUGAAAGUAACCAUCAGAUAUAACCACUAAGUUAAAUAACUACAGAGAAGAAAAAUAUUUUUUGAAAGAAAUUAAUACCUUCUCCUUCAUUUCAUCUGCUCAGACCAGCCAACCAAACCAACCAACCAAACAACUCCCAACCCCCCAUAUAUAUAUAUAUAUAUAUUUUUAUUUUUUUUUUUUAAAUUUUCACUGCUCAUGAUUUAACCCUCUCAAUUUGUCCAGUCUAUUUUGGUGAUUUUUGUAUUCUCUUGACCAGGUGAUGGUUUCAAUCCUGUGGUUUCAAUGCUGUGACUGUACUGAUGUUAUUUUUGUGCAACAACUAACUUUUGCUGGCUUGUGCUUUAGCAAAACAAUUCCUCCUCUUUCUUGCAACUGAAUAGUCAUAUACUAAGGUACAUGCCACUGACAUAAGUUGAUAAUCUGCUAUAGUUCAUUAAAAAAAUCCAUUCUGUACUUAUACCAAGAGAGAUAAGUGGGGUGCCUUCCAUGUAAGAAACUGCCUUAAAAACAGUUUCUGUCUCUGCUAGAAGCUUCAAUAACAUGCUGAACUACUGAUGAAACACUUUGUACAUUGCCCAGCAAAGAAAUGGAUGUACUAACACCUUUCACAAUUAUUUUUUCCCAGUUGAAUUACAUAUCCAACACAAGGCAGCCUCUCAUUUCUCACAAUCACAGUCUUAUCUCCAAAUUCAGGGUGGGGAUUUGGACAAAAUAAUGAUGUACUAAAUUUUUUUCUUUAAAUGCAUGUCUCAGUAAAAUAUUUUUGCUUUAUAU
rnacentral:lncRNA from 1 species